AACGAACGCUGGCGGCAGGCUUAACACAUGCCAGUCGAGCGCCCCGCAAGGGGAGCGGCAGACGGGUGAGUAACGCGUGGGAACGUACCUUUUGGUUCGGAACAACUCCGGGAAACUGGAGCUAAUACCGGAUAAGCCCUAACGGGGAAAGAUUUAUCGCCGAAAGAUCGGCCCGCGUCUGAUUAGCUAGUUGGUGAGGUAACGGCUCACCAAGGCGACGAUCAGUAGCUGGUCUGAGAGGAUGAUCAGCCACACUGGGACUGAGACACGGCCCAGACUCCUACGGGAGGCAGCAGUGGGGAAUAUUGGACAAUGGGCGCAGGCCUGAUCCAGCCAUGCCGCGUGAGUGAUGAAGGCCUUAGGGUUGUAAAGCUCUUUUGUCCGGGAAGAUAAUGACUGUACCGGAAGAAUAAGCCCCGGCUAACUUCGUG
rnacentral:rRNA from 1 species